rnacentral:lncRNA from 1 species
AAAGAGAAGCUAACAAAGGAAACCCUCUUCAAAAAAUGGGAUUUCCUUGGCCUUAGCAGUUCUGGUGUGUGCAUUGCCAACACUAGGUAGGAAGAAUUUGGCUGAAUGUUUGUGACUAAAUAGCGGCCUGGCUCAAACCUCCCAAAGAGAGGGAAUUCACCAUGCGUUCCACAGUUUUAUUCUGAGGAAGAAGCUAACAGAAACAGAAUUUUAGAGCCUUAGAGCUCUCAUUACAAAAUGUCCCUCACUGUAAGUGGUGCAUACUGAGCCCAGUUUAGAUGUAUGUACUGAGCCCAGUACAAAUGUAUGUACUGAGCCCAGAGCUAUUCGGCCUAUUGGUGCUGGGGUGAUUAGGAUUAGAUGACGACACCUCCAAUGAGUUAGUCUGUGAUGCUGUGUCCUAGAUUGUGCUCAGGAUUAAAGACCUGAUUAAAAGACCUUUUUGACUGAAGAAUGUUCUUAAACCUGAGCAUCCAAUCAGCUUUAAACGAGUUGCAAUUAAUCAUAAUGCUAUGUGUUCAUUGUUAAUUGCAGAUGAAAUGCCAGUGUUGAUAGAAAUUACCUCUAAAGCCUUGAUUCUGGAAGAAGCUAGAGAAAUGGCUCUUGGGGUUCUAAUACUGACAUUUCUUUGGUGACUGGUUCCCAUGAAUGACCUCAACUUCCACUGAAAUCCACAAGAAAACCAAAAAAUGCAAACCACAAGCCUGAAUAUUUCUGCAAAUUACCUGUGUCUUGAACAGUUUGGAUACGUGCUUGAUCUUUUGUGGCAAUGUAAUACUAGUGCCAGGACUCCACUUGUGGUAUCACUUUUAAGUGAGGCCACAUGGUGCCAUUUAGAGAUUCAGCAAAUUCUCACAUGUUCCAUCUGCCGUGCAUUGUUACAGGUUUUGAGUCUAGAACCACAAAAACAAAAGACAAAAAACUCUGUCCUUGUGGACUUUGUUUCUAAAGGAGAGAAAACAAAAAAGGUAAGUAAAAUAUAUAGUAUGGUAGAUAAUGAAUGGUAUGGGCUGAAGGAGAAACAAAGAAAGAAGUUAGGUAGCACUGAGAGGAAGGGCGGUUUGCAAUUUAGGUAA